rnacentral:ncRNA from 1 species
AUUACUCGACACGGGAGUCCCGGGUUCGUCGCUGCGGGGCUGAGAGUGGGCACAGCCAGAGCAUCUGGAUCUGCCCUUACCGUCACACCUGAUCCGGAUCAUGCCGGCGAAGGGAGGCUUGGAGGAUGAGUG